rnacentral:rRNA from 1 species
UACGAAGGGGGCUAGCGUUGCUCGGAAUCACUGGGCGUAAAGGGUGCGUAGGCGGGUCUUUUAAGUCAGGGGUGAAAUCCUGGAGCUCAACUCCAGAACUGCCUUUGAUACUGAGGAUCUUGAGUUCGGGAGAGGUGAGUGGAACUGCGAGUGUAGAGGUGAAAUUCGUAGAUAUUCGCAAGGACACCAGUGGCGAAGGCGGCUCACUGGCCCGAUACUGACGCUGAUGCACGAAAGCGUGGGGAGCAAACAGG